UGCAGAAUCCCGUGAACCAUCGAGUCUUUGAACGCAAGUUGCGCCCCAAGCCUUCUGGCCGAGGGCACGUCUGCCUGGGCGUCACAAAUCGUCGUCCCCCUCACAAAAUAUUGCGAGUGUGGGACGGAAGCUGGUCUCCCGUGUGUUACCGCACGCGGUUGACCAAAAUCUGAGCUGAGGAUGCUGGGAGCGUCCCGACAUGCGGUGGUGAUCUAAAGCCUCUUCAUAUUGCCGGUCGCUCCUCUCCGUAAGCUCUCGUUGACCCAAUGUCCUCAAAGCGACCCCAGGUCAGGCGGGAUCACCCGCUGAGUUUAAGCAUAUCAAUAAGCGGAGGAAAAGAAACUAACAAGGAUUCCCUUAGUAACGGCGAGCGAACCGGGAAGAGCCCAGCUUGAAAAUCGGACGUCUUCGGCGUUCGA
rnacentral:rRNA from 1 species